rnacentral:rRNA from 1 species
GACGAACGCUGGCGGCGUGCUUAACACAUGCCAGUCGAACGGGCCUUGUCCCCUUUUUUUUGGGGGUGGGGUUAGUGGCGAACGGGUGAGUAACACGUGAGUAACCUGCCCCUCACUUCUGGAUAACCGCUUGAAAGGGUGGCUAAUACGGGGUGUUCUGGCCUGCUCGCAUGGGUGGGUUUGGAAAGAUUCGACCGGUUUUGGUUGUUUUGGUGGGGGAUGGGCUCGCGGCCUAUCAGCUUGUUGGUGGGGUGAUGGCCUGCCAAGGCUUUGACGGGUAGCCGGCCUGAGAGGGUGGGCGGUCACACUGGGACUGAGACACGGCCCAGACUCCUACGGGAGGCAGCAGUGGGGAAUAUUGCACAAUGGGCGCAAGCCUGAUGCAGCGACGCCGCGUGAGGGAUGGAGGCCUUCGGGUUGUGAACCUCUUUCGCCAGUGAAGAAGGUCCUGCUCUUUGUGGUGGGGUUGACGGUAGCUGGGUUAAUGAAGCGCCGGCUAACUACGUG